CUUGGUCAUUUAGAGGAAGUAAAAGUCGUAACAAGGUCUCCGUUGGUGAACCAGCGGAGGGAUCAUUACCGAGUUUACAACUCCCAAACCCAUGUGAACAUACCUAUUGUUGCUUCGGCGGGAUUGCCCCGGGCGCCUCGUGUGCCCCGGAUCAGGCGCCCGCCUAGGAAACUCAACUCUUGUUUUAUUUUGGAAUCUUCUGAGUAGUUUUUACAAAUAAAUAAAAACUUUCAACAACGGAUCUCUUGGUUCUGGCAUCGAUGAAGAACGCAGCGAAAUGCGAUAAGUAAUGUGAAUUGCAGAAUUCAGUGAAUCAUCGAAUCUUUGAACGCACAUUGCGCCCGCCAGUAUUCUGGCGGGCAUGCCUGUCUGAGCGUCAUUUCAACCCUCAUGCCCCUAGGGCGUGGUGUUGGGGAUCGGCCAAAGCCCGCGAGGGACGGCCGGCCCCUAAAUCUAGUGGCGGACCCGUCGUGGCCUCCUCUGCGAAGUAGUGAUAUUCCGCAUCGGAGAGCGAUGAGCCCCUGCCGUUAAACCCCCAACUUUCCAAGGUUGACCUCAGAUCAGGUAGGAAUACCCGCUGAACUUAAGCAUAUCAAUAAGCGGAGGA
rnacentral:rRNA from 1 species